AGUAACACGUGGGUAAUCUACCCUUGAGUUUGGGAUAAGCCUGGGAAACUGGGUCUAAUACCGAAUGAUACCCUUAGGUGGCAUCACCUGAGGAUCAAAGGCGGGGCAACCUGCCGCUUGGGGAUGAGCCCGCGUUCCAUUAGCUUGAUGGUGGGGUAACGGCCUACCAUGGCUGCGAUGGAUAGCCGGCCUGAGAGGGUGGACGGCCACACUGGGACUGAGAUACGGCCCAG
rnacentral:rRNA from 1 species